rnacentral:snoRNA from 1 species
AGACCAUGGUAUUGGCACUUACAGAAAAUUAACUUAAAGUUCUCUCAUGCCUCAUAUAAUGACUUUGCUUCCAAUUGUCUAAAAUUCGUAAUAUUCAUACUAAGUUU